rnacentral:lncRNA from 1 species
ACAUGGAUUCUGAUGCCCUGCGAGUCUUCCAGAAUGAGCUCAUUUGCUGCAUUUGCGUGAACUACUUCAUAGACCGGUCACCAUUGACUGUGGGCACAGCUUUUGCAGGCCCUGCCUCUGCCUCUGCUCAGAAGAAGGCAGAGCACCAAUGCGCUGCCCUUCAUGCAGAAAAAUCUCAGAGAAGCCCAACUUCAACACCAAUGUGGUACUCAAAAAGCUGUCUUCCCUAGCCAGACAGACCAGACCUCAGAACAUCAACAGCUCAGACAAUAUCUGUGUGCUCCAUGCGGAGACUAAGGAGCUCUUCUGUGAGGCUGACAAGAGAUUGCUCUGUGGGCCCUGCUCUGAGUCACCAGAGCACAUGGCUCACAGCCACAGCCCAAUAGGAUGGGAGAAACUUAUAAAGGAAAUGGACUAUUUAUGGAAAAUCAAUCAAGAGACACGAAACAAUCUAAAUCAGGAAACUAGCAAAUUUUGUUCAUUAGUGGACUAUGUGUCAUUAAGGAAGAGGAUAAUCACUAUUCAGUAUCAAAAGAUGCAUCUAUUUCUCAAUGAGGAGGAGCAACUGCAUCUGCAGGCACUGGAAAGAGAAGCAAAAGAGCUUUUCCAACAACUACAAGACAGUCAAGUGAGAAUGACCCAACAUUUAGAAAGGAUGAAAGACAUGUACAGAGAGCUGUGGGAGACAUGCCACAUGCCUGACGUGGAGCUGCUCCAGGACUGAUUUGGCACAGAUGCAAAAGCCCCAGCCAGUGAACCCAGAGCUCACUUCAUGGUGCAUAACUGGAGUCCUAGACAUGCUCAACAACUUCAGAGUGGAUAAUGCUCUGAGUACGGAAAUGACUCCUUGCUAUAUAAGCCUUUCUGAGGAUGUGAGAUAUGUGAUAUUUGGAGAUGACCAUCUCAGUGCUCCCACGGAUCCCCAGGGAGUGGACAGCUUUGCUGUGUGGGGAGCACAAGCAUUCACCUCUGGCAAGCAUUACUGGGAGGUGGAUGUGACCCUCUCCUCCAACUGGAUUCUGGGAGUCUGUCGAGAUUCCAGAACAGCAGAUACCAAUAUCAUUAUUGAUUCUGAUGAAAGAUUUUUUUUAAUUUCCUCAAAGAGGAGCAAUCACUAUAGUCUCUCCACCAACUCUCCACCUUUAAUUCAGUAUGUGCAAAGGCCUCUGGGUCGGGUUGGGGUGUUUCUGGAUUAUGAUAAUGGAUCUGUGAGUUUUUUUGAUGUUUCUAAAGGUUCUCUUAUCUAUGGUUUUCCUCCUUCCUCCUUCUCGUCCCCUCUGAGGCCUUUCUUUUGCUUUGGUUGUACA